CAUAAAGCCAGAUCCAGUGACAGCUGUUGCAGGGACCAGGAAAUUUCCAGAUGUUUAUGGAGAAACAGCACAGCACAGCAAAAGGAUUCCAUAAAGCAAAAUCUUCUUGAACCCUGUCUGCAUCCUUCCCUCCUGAAUGAGGCCUCUGAAGAGGUACUUGGCUGCAGUACCCAUGAGAAAUUAUCCACAUGGAUAAUAGAGCUGGUGUCUUUGAGAGAGAGCAGUCACCUGGGGGAACAGGAAAAAGAGUUGUGUGAGGAGCAGCCCGGUGACUCAGAGUCAGCAGCCUGCCCCUCUGCACUCACCAGGCCACGAGGGUCGGAGGAAAAAGGACAGUCUAUGUCUGCUGAUCCCAUCACUGGAAGAGCCUCCUGCUGUCCAUGGGGAACUUCUGCCUCCAGCAAGAAAAUAGACAAUAAUGGCUUCUCACAGCUGGACUAA
rnacentral:lncRNA from 1 species